UAAGGAAUAUUGGUCAAUGGACGCAAGUCUGAACCAGCCAUGCCGCGUGGAGGAUGAAGGUCCUCUGGAUUGUAAACUUCUUUUAUCUGGGACGAAACACUUCUUUUCUAAGAGGCCUGACGGUACCAGAUGAAUAAGCACCGGCUAACUCCGUGCCAGCAGCCGCGGUAAUACGGAGGGUGCAAGCGUUAUCCGGAUUCACCGGGUUUAAAGGGUGCGUAGGUGGGUAUGUAAGUCAGUGGUGAAAGCCCCGAGCUUAACUUGGGAACUGCCAGUGAGACUAUAUAUCUUGAAUACCGUAGAGGUAAGCUGAAUAUGUCAUGUAGCGGUGAAAUGCUUAGAUAUGACAUGGAACACCAAUUGCGAAGGCAGCUUACCAUGCGGUGAUUGACACUGAGUCACGAAAGCGAUG
rnacentral:rRNA from 1 species